UCUCAGUUCGGAUCGGAGUCUGNAACCCGACUCCGUGAAGCUGGAUUCGCUAGUAAUCGCGCAUCAGCCAUGGCGCGGUGAAUACGUUCCCGGGCCUUGUACACACCGCCCGUCAAGCCAUGGGAGCUGGGGGUGCCUGAAGGCCGUGACCGCGAGGAGCGGCCUAGGGUAAAACCGGUGACUGGGGCUAAGUCGUAACAAGGUAUC
rnacentral:rRNA from 1 species